UUCAUUUUGUGACAGCACUGAUUAAUUUUGGCACUGUUGUGUUGCCAUAGCACAGGAGGUGCGGGGCGAUGCGCUCCCGCUUGUGUGUGUGCGUAUGGGAACACGCAAUAAAGGAGCCACACUUUUG